rnacentral:rRNA from 1 species
UACGAAGGGGGCUAGCGUUGCUCGGAAUUACUGGGCGUAAAGCGUGCGCAGGCGGUUUUGUAAGCCAGAUGUGAAAUCCCCGGGCUUAACCUGGGAAUGGCAUUUGGGACUGCAAGGCUGGAGUGCGGCAGAGGAGACUGGAAUUCCUGGUGUAGCAGUGAAAUGCGUAGAUAUCAGGAGGAACACCGAUGGCGAAGGCAGGUCUCUGGGCUGACACUGACGCUCAUGCACGAAAGCGUGGGGAGCAAACAGG